ACAUCCAGAGAAUUUAGCAGAGAUGCUUUAGUGCCUUCGGGAACUCUGAGACAGGUGCUGCAUGGCUGUCGUCAGCUCGUGUUGUGAAAUGUUGGGUUAAGUCCCGNAACGAGCGCAACCCUUAUCCUUUGUUGCCAGCACGGUAAUGGUGGGAACUCAAAGGAGACUGCCGGUGAUAAACCGGAGGAAGGUGGGGAUGACGUCAAGUCAUCAUGGCCCUUACGAGUAGGGCUACACACGUGCUACAAUGGCGCAUACAAAGAGAAGCGACCUCGCGAGAGCAAGCGGACCUCAUAAAGUGCGUCGUAGUCCGGAUUGGAGUCUGCAACUCGACUCCAUGAAGUCGGAAUCGCUAGUAAUCGUAAAUCAGAAUGUUACGGUGAAUACGUUCCCGGGCCUUGUACACACCGCCCGUCACACCAUGGGAGUGGGUUGCAAAAGAAGUAGAUAGCUUAACCUUCGGGAGGGCGUUUACCACUUUGUGAUUCAUGACUGGGGUGAAGUCGUAACAAGGUAAGCGUAGUGCU
rnacentral:rRNA from 1 species